rnacentral:rRNA from 1 species
GACGAACGCUGGCGGCGUGCCUAAUACAUGCAAGUAGAACGCUGAAGAGAGGAGCUUGCUCUUCUUGGAUGAGUUGCGAACGGGUGAGUAACGCGUAGGUAACCUGCCUGGUAGCGGGGGAUAACUAUUGGAAACGAUAGCUAAUACCACAUAAAAUGGAUUAUCGCAUGAUAAUCCAUUGAAAGGUGCAAAUGCAUCACUACCAGAUGGACCUGCGUUGUAUUAGCUAGUUGGUGGGGUAACGGCUCACCAAGGCGACGAUACAUAGCCGACCUGAGAGGGUGAUCGGCCACACUGGGACUGAGACACGGCCCAGACUCCUACGGGAGGCAGCAGUAGGGAAUCUUCGGCAAUGGACGGAAGUCUGACCGAGCAACGCCGCGUGAGUGAAGAAGGUUUUCGGAUCGUAAAGCUCUGUUGUAAGAGAAGAACGAGUGUGAGAG